UGCAGUCGUACGAGAACCCCGAUGCUUGCAUUGGGGGGAGAGUGGCGAACGGGUGAGUAACACGUGGAUAAUCUGCCUCCGGGUUGGGGACAACCAUCCGAAAGGAUGGCUAAUACCGAAUAACAUGGCUUUAACAUAAGUUUUUGCCAUCAAAGGUGGGGACCUUCGGGCCUACCUCCUGGAGAUGAGUCCGCGGCCCAUUAGCUUGUUGGUGGGGUAACGGCCUACCAAGGCUGCGAUGGGUAGCCGGCCUGAGAGGGUGAACGGCCACAUUGGGACUGAGAUACGGCCCAGACUCCUACGGGAGGCAGCAGUUAAGAAUCUUGCGCAAUGGGAGAAAUCCUGACGCAGCGACGCCGCGUGGACGAUGAAGGCCUUCGGGUUGUAAAGUCCAAUAAGCAGGGAAGAAUAAGCAAAAGGUAAUAUUUUUUGUGAUGACGGUACCUGCCUAAAGCCCCGGCUAACUACGUGCCAGCAGCCGCGGUAAUACGUAUGGGGCAAGCGUUGUUCGGAAUUACUGGGCGUAAAGCGCGCGUAGGCGGCUUUGUAAGUCGGAUGUGAAAGCCCUGGGCUUAACCUGGGAAUUGCAUUCGAUACUGCAGAGCUAGAGUAUGGUAGAGGGAAGUGGAAUUCCGGGUGUAGCGGUGAAAUGCGUAGAUAUCCGGAGGAACACCAGUGACGAGCGACUUCCUGGGCCAUACUGACGCUGAAGGUGCGAAGCGUGGGGGAGCAAACAGGAUAGAUACCUGUAGUUCACGUCGUUAACGAUGAAUACUAGAUGUCGGGGAAUCUUGUCCUUCGGGUCGCAGCUAAACGCGUUAAGUUCCUCCGCCUGGGGGGAGUAC
rnacentral:rRNA from 1 species